UAACGCGUAGUCAAUCUAACCUAUGGACGGGGAUAACCUCGGGAAACUGAGAAUAAUACCCGAUAGAUCAUCAUGCCUGGAAUGGCCGAUGGUUGAAAUGAUUUAUCGCCAUAGGAUGGGACUGCGAUCUAUCAGCUUGUUGGUGAGGUAAUGGCCCACCAAGGCUAUAACAGAUACGGGCUCUGAGAGGAGAAGCCCGGAGAUGGGUACUGAGACACGGACCCAGGCCCUAUGGGGCGCAGCAGGCGAGAAAACUUUGCAAUGUGCGAAAGCACGACAAGGUUAAUCCGAGUGGUUCCUGCUAAAGGAACCUUUUGCCGGUCCUAAAAACACCGGUGAAUAAGGGGUGGGCAAGUUCUGGUGUCAGCCGCCGCGGUAAAACCAGCACCUCAAGUGGUCAGGAGGAUUAUUGGGCCUAAAGCAUCCGUAGCCGGCUGUGUAAGUUUUCGGUUAAAUCCAUGCGCUCAACGUAUGGGCUGCCGGGAAUACUGCACAGCUAGGGAGUGGGAGAGGUAGACGGUACUCGGUAGGGAGGGGUAAAAUCCACUGAUCUAUCGAUGACCACCUGUGGCGAAGGCGGUCUACUAGAACACGUCCGAC
rnacentral:rRNA from 1 species